rnacentral:rRNA from 1 species
AUAAGCGGAGGAAAAGAAACCAACAGGGAUUGCCCCAGAAGCGGCGAGUGAAGCGGCAAGAGCUCAGAUUUGAAAUCGUGUUUCGGCACGAGUUGUAGAGUGUAGGCGGGAGUCUCUGUGGAGCGCGGUGUCCAAGUCCCUUGGAACAGGGUGCCUGAGAGGGUGAGAGCCCCGUAGGGUGCUGCGCGAAGCUUUUGAGGCCCUGCUGACGAGUCGAGUUGUUUGGGAAUGCAGCUCCAAGCGGGUGGUAAAUUCCAUCUAAGGCUAAAUAUUGGCGAGAGACCGAUAGCGAACAAGUACUGUGAAGGAAAGAUGAAAAGCACUUUGAAAAGAGAGUGAAACAGCACGUGAAAUUGUUGAAAGGGAAGGGUAUUGGGCUCGACAUGGGGGGUGCGCACCGCUGUCUCUUGUAGGCGGCGCUCUGGGCGCCCUCUGGGCCAGCAUCGGUUCCUGCUGCGGGAGAAGGGGCUCCGGAAAGUGGCUCUUCGGAGUGUUAUAGCCGGGGCCAGAUGCCGCGUGUGGGGACCGAGGACUGCGGCUUCUGUCUCGGAUGCUGGCAUAAUGC